rnacentral:rRNA from 1 species
AUUGAACGCUGGCGGCAUGCCUUACACAUGCAAGUCGAACGGCAGCACGGGUGCUUGCACCUGGUGGCGAGUGGCGAACGGGUGAGUAAUACAUCGGAACAUGUCCUGUAGUGGGGGAUAGCCCGGCGAAAGCCGGAUUAAUACCGCAUACGAUCUACGGAUGAAAGCGGGGGACCUUCGGGCCUCGCGCUUUAGGGUUGGCCGAUGGCUGAUUAGCUAGUUGGUGGGGUAAAGGCCUACCAAGGCGACGAUCAGUAGCUGGUCUGAGAGGACGACCAGCCACACUGGGACUGAGACACGGCCCAGACUCCUACGGGAGGCAGAAGUGGGGAAUUUUGGACAGUGGGCGAAAGCCUGAUCCAGCAAUGCCGCGUGUGUGAAGAAGGCCUUCGGGUUGUAAAGCACUUUUGUCCGGAAAGAAAUCCUUGGCCCUAAUACGGUCGGGGGAUGACGGUACCGGAAGAAUAAGCACCGGCUAACUACGU